rnacentral:rRNA from 1 species
GACGAACGCUGGCGGCGUGCUUAACACAUGCAAGUCGAACGGAAAGGCCCUGCUUGCAGGGUACUCGAGUGGCGAACGGGUGAGUAACACGAGGGUGAUCUGCCCUGCACUUCGGGAUAAGCCUGGGAAACUGGGUCUAAUACCGGAUAGGAGCCAUUUUUAGUGUGAUGGUUGGAAAGUUUUUUCGGUGUAGGAUGAGCUCGCGGCCUAUCAGCUUGUUGGUGGGGUAAUGGCCUACCAAGGCGGCGACGGGUAGCCGGCCUGAGAGGGUGGACGGCCACAUUGGGACUGAGAUACGGCCCAGACGCCUACGGGAGGCAGCAGUGGGGAAUAUUGCACAAUGGGCGCAAGCCUGAUGCAGCGACGCCGCGUGGGGGAUGACGGCCUUCGGGUUGUAAACUCCUUUCGCUAGGGACGAAGCUUUUUGUGACGGUACCUAGAUAAGAAGCACCGGCUAACUACGUG